rnacentral:pre_miRNA from 1 species
UUUGGAACGUUAACAUCGGAAAACCCGCAUUGCGUUAUUGUCAACCUCACAAUUUCGCUGUGAGUGUUCCCAUGUUAGCUCCCAUU